rnacentral:rRNA from 1 species
UACGAAGGGUGCAAGCGUUACUCGGAAUUACUGGGGCGUAAAGCGUGCGUAGGUGGUGAGUUAAGUCUGUCGUGAAAGCCCCGGGCUCACCUGGGAAUGGCGAUGGAUACUGGCUCGCUAGAGUGCGGUAGAGGAGAGUGGAAUUCCCGGUGUAGCAGUGAAAUGCGUAGAGAUCGGGAGGAACAUCAGUUGCGAAGGCGGCUCUCUGGACCAGCACUGACACUGAGGCACGAAAGCGUGGGGAGCAAACAGG